UGGGGAGUACGGUCGCAAGACUAAAACUCAAAUGAAUUGACGGGGGCCCGCACAAGCGGUGGAGCAUGUGGUUUAAUUCGAUGCAACGCGAAGAACCUUACCUGGCCUUGACAUACUAAGAACUUUCCAGAGAUGGAUUGGUGCCUUCGGGAACUUAGAUACAGGUGCUGCAUGGCUGUCGUCAGCUCGUGUCGUGAGAUGUUGGGUUAAGUCCCGCAACGAGCGCAACCCUUUUCCUUAUUUGCCAGCGGGUAAUGCCGGGAACUUUAAGGAUACUGCCAGUGACAAACUGGAGGAAGGCGGGGAUGACGUCAAGUCAUCAUGGCCCUUACGGCCAGGGCUACACACGUGCUACAAUGGUCGGUACAAAGGGUUGCUACCUCGCGAGAGGAUGCUAAUCUCAAAAAGCCGAUCGUAGUCCGGAUCGCAGUCUGCAACUCGACUGCGUGAAGUCGGAAUCGCUAGUAAUCGCGGAUCAGAAUGCCGCGGUGAAUACGUUCCCGGGCCUUGUACACACCGCCCGUCACACCAUGGGAGUUUGUUGCACCAGAAGUAGGUAGUCUAACCGCAAGGAGGACG
rnacentral:rRNA from 1 species